UACGUAGGGACCAAGCGUUGUUCGGAUUUACUGGGCGUAAAGGGCGCGUAGGCGGCAAUUCAAGUCAUCUGUGAAAUCUCCGGGCUUAACUCGGAACGGUCAGAUGAUACUGCUUUGCUAGAGUGCAGAAGGGGCAAUCGGAAUUCUCGGUGUAGCGGUGAGAUGCGUAGAUAUCGAGAGGAACACCUGAGGUGAAGACGGGUUGCUGGGCUGACACUGACGCUGAAGCGCGAAAGCGUGGGGAGCAAACAGG
rnacentral:rRNA from 1 species